AUACGGGGGGUGCAAGCGUUAUUGGGAUUUAUUGGGCGUCAAGAGCGCGUAGGCGGCUUGGUAAGUCAGAUGUGAAAGCCCGGGGCUCAACCCCGGAAGUGCAUUUGAAACUAUUAGGCUUGAGUAUGGGAGAGGGAAGUGGAAUUCCUGGUGUAGAGGUGAAAUUCGUAGAUAUCAGGAGGAACACCGGUGGCGAAGGCGACUUCCUGGACCAAUACUGACGCUGAGGCGCGAAGGCGUGGGGAGCAAACAGGAUUAGAAACCCUAGUAGUCC
rnacentral:rRNA from 1 species